CCUACGGGGGGCAGCAGUGGGGAAUAUUGCUCAAUGGGCGAAAGCCUGACGCAGCGACGCCGCGUGAGGGAUGAAGGUCUUCGGAUCGUAAACCUCUGUCAGCAGGGAAGAACGGUCACUGUGCUAAUCAGCAGUGAAUUGACGGUACCUGCAAAGGAAGCACCGGCUAACUCCGUGCCAGCAGCCGCGGUAAUACGGAGGGUGCGUGCGUUAAUCGGAAUUACUGGGCGUAAAGCGCGCGUAGGCGGUAUGUCAAGUCAAGGGUGAAAUCCCCGCGCUCAACGUGGGAACUGCCUUUGAAACUGGCAGACUGGAGUGUGUGAGAGGAUAGUGGAAUUCCAGGUGUAGGAGUGAAAUCCGUAGAUAUCUGGAAGAACAUCAGUGGCGAAGGCGACUAUCUGGCACAUAACUGACGCUGAGGAGCGAAAGCGUGGGUAGCAAACAGGAUUAGAUACCCCAGUAGUC
rnacentral:rRNA from 1 species